UUAUGAUUGACAUCAACUUGAGUCAUAGCCAAACACAACUACUAAUGAUACCUUUCCUCUUGCAAGGAAACUGAUAAAAUCCAAAAUGAAAUACUGUGACAGGUUAGCACCCGUUAGUAAUUAACUUACACAACCAACUCCCCUCCUGCACCCGCUCGUUCCUGGCCAUUGUGACCUCAUGUAACCCUCGAUGUUCUUCCACUCUGUGCUCUGUGCUCACAUAGUUUCUAACAAUUCUUCCACAUAGCUCUUAACAUUCUUCCACUCUGUGCUCCACACUCAUAUAGUCUCUAACAAUUCUUCCAUGUAGCUCCUUACAUUCUCCCACUCUGUGUUCCACACUCACAUAGUCUCUAACAAUUCUUCUGUGUAGUUCUCAAUGAUUCCCCCACC
rnacentral:sRNA from 1 species